rnacentral:rRNA from 1 species
UACCAGCACCCCGAGUGGUCGGCACGAUUAUUGGGCCUAAAGCAUCCGUAGCCGGUCCUGCAAGUCUUCCGUUAAAUCCAGCUGCUCAACAGAUGGGCUGCGGAGGAUACUACAGGGCUAGGAGGCGGGAGAGGCAAGCGGUACUUUAUGGGUAGGGGUAAAAUCCGUUGAUCCAUAGAAGACCACCAGUGGCGAAGGCGGCUUGCCAGAACGCGCUCGACGGUGAGGGAUGAAAGCUGGGGGAGCAAACCGG